GCGAUCAUACUUGCACUAAUGCACCAGAUCCCAUCAGAACUCCGAAGUUAAGCGUGCUUGGGUGAGAGCAGUACUAGGAUGGGUGGCCCCCUGGGAAGUCUUUGUGUUGCACCU
rnacentral:rRNA from 1 species